rnacentral:lncRNA from 1 species
CCCCAUCUCUGGCCUGCCUAUUUCUGGUGAGGUGGUCACGGAGUGAUACAAGAGGAAUCUGACAGACUGGUACUCUGUGAGCUUCCACAAAACACCAGAGAACAGUCUGUUCAAACCCUUGGCGGAAAACACAUGUACUUAAACUGGUCAAACAUCUUUAAAGCACAGCCUUCCUUCAAUGUCUUUCAAGGGCUCUAUGAAAUGCCCUGUGCCUCCGUCCAUCCCCACAACCCUGGAGGCCAAGGUUGAUGACUUACGGUUUAAAGUGGAGCAGCUCCUCUUGAGCCCAGAGAGAAGUUGCCCCAUGUGUGGGACCUGCGUUCAGCACAGCACACUGCAGGAGACCGUGACCAGCCAGCUGUCAGCUCAGACCAGAUUGUUGGAUUCUCUUGAAAAGAAAGUCUUGGAGAUGAGAACAGCUCUGGAGGACCUGGCGCGUGGUCUGGAGGACAGACAGUGUGAGAGAGUGUCUGUGCCAUUAGCGGCUCUACAGAGACGGAAAUCACUGCCUGUUCGAAACUCUGCGGAGGAAAUCUAUGUUCGCUUGGACAGAGACUGUAUGGUGCCACAUGCCUUUAAUAUGCCUUUGGAGAAAGGUAUUUUGCUAGAAAUCAAUGAAAACAACGGAACGAGAACAGAGGACCAUCA